rnacentral:lncRNA from 1 species
CGGGUGCGCACCGGGGGCCGCAGGCGGGCCCAUCUGACGCGUGCCCCACCGCACCGCCUCAGGCGGCUGCGGCUGCCCCGCCGCGGAAGGUGCCGUGGGCUGCGGCGCGCCAGCCGGUGCUGCGGGCGGCGCGCCGGCCGGUGCUGCGGGCGCCGUGGCGGCAGUGUCGUGCUUGCCGUCCUUGCCCUCCAUGGUCGACGAUGGUGACACGGGAGGAGCUAGCAAAGCAAGAGGAGCAGGUGGUGGGAGUGGGACGGUGUGGAUAGAGCUCGGUGGAAAUGGAUGGAAAGCGCGAGACGAAGACGACUACCGGAUUCGAUCGGCUUGAUGACGGCGAGGUGGCGGCGAGGGAGGCUAGUUUUUAUACUAGUAGCUGGCUGGGUUGGGCGGUGGCGUGUCGGCGAGGGAGCAGAAUUCCGGCACGGAAGGGCGGCGCGGGCGGGCUGGUUCGUUCGUUCCAGACGCUGUGCUAAGGGA